CCUACGGGAGGCAGCAGUGAGGAAUAUUGGUCAAUGGGCUUACGCCUGAACCAGCCAAGUCGCGUGAGGGAAGACUGCCCUAUGGGUUGUAAACCUCUUUUGUCAGGGAGCAAUUGGCGCUACGUGUAGCGUUAUCGAGAGUACCUGAAGAAAAAGCAUCGGCUAACUCCGUGCCAGCAGCCGCGGUAAUACGGAGGAUGCGAGCGUUAUCCGGAUUUAUUGGGUUUAAAGGGUGCGUAGGCGGAAUGCCAAGUCAGCGGUAAAAUCGCGGGGCUCAACCUCGCUCCGCCGUUGAAACUGGCGGUCUUGAGUGGGCGAGAAGUAUGCGGAAUGCGUGGUGUAGCGGUGAAAUGCAUAGAUAUCACGCAGAACUCCGAUUGCGAAGGCAGCAUACCGGCGCCCGACUGACGCUGAAGCACGAAAGCGUGGGUAUCGAACAGGAUUAGAUACCCGGGUAGUC
rnacentral:rRNA from 1 species